rnacentral:rRNA from 1 species
CCUACGGGAGGCAGCAGUGGGGGAUAUUGCACAAUGGGGGGAACCCUGAUGCAGCGACGCCGCGUGUGUGAAGGAGUCUUUCGGUAUGUAAAGCCCUAUCGGCAGGGAAGAAUUUAGCCGGUACCUGAAUAAUAAGCCCCGGCUAAAUACGUGCCAGCAGCCGCGGUAAUACGUAGGGGGCAAGCCUUAUCCGGAUUCACUGGGUGUAAAGGGAGCGUAGACGGCCAGGCAAGCCCGGAGUGAAAGCCCCGGGCCCAACCCCGGGACUGAUCUUGGAACUGUUCGGCUGGAGUGCGGGAGGGGCAGGUGGAAGUCCUGGUGUAGCGGUGAAAUGCGUAGAUAUCAGGAGGAACACCGGCGGCGAAGGCGGCCCGCUGGACAGCGACUGACGUUGAGGUGCGAAAGCGUGGGGAGCGAACAGGAUUAGAUACCCGGGUAGUC